rnacentral:rRNA from 1 species
AAGUUCCUUCGGGAAUUAGUAAAGCGGCGAACGAGUGAGUAUCGCGUGGGAAUUUACCCUUCAGUGAAGAAUAACCUUGAGAAAUCGAGGACAAUACUGCAUACGUCUCUUCGGAGAGAAAGAUGGCCUCUUGCUGUCGCUGAAGGAUGAGCCUGCGUACUAUCAGCUAGUUGGUGGGGUAAAGGCCUACCAAGGCUAUGACGGUUAGCCGGCCUGAGAGGGUGUACGGCCACGCUGGAACUUAGACACGGUCCAGACUCCUACGGGAGGCAGCAGUGGGGAAUAUUGCGCAAUGGGCGAAAGCCUGACGCAGCGACGCCGCGUGGAGGAUGAAGGUCUUCGGA